AUUAAUAUGAUGAGUCCGACAUAGAACGAAACGCGCGUCCUGGAU
rfam:Schistosoma margrebowiei strain Zambia genome assembly, scaffold: SMRZ_scaffold0004585